AUUGAACGCUGGCGGCAGGCUUAACACAUGCAAGUCGAGCGGGGGAAGGUAGCUUGCUACCGGACCUAGCGGCGGACGGGUGAGUAAUGCUUAGGAAUCUGCCUAUUAGUGGGGGACAACAUCUCGAAAGGGAUGCUAAUACCGCAUACGUCCUACGGGAGAAAGCAGGGGAUCUUCGGACCUUGCGCUAAUAGAUGAGCCUAAGUCAGAUUAGCUAGUUGGUGGGGUAAAGGCCUACCAAGGCGACGAUCUGUAGCGGGUCUGGGAGGAUGAUCCGCCACACUGGGACUGAGACACGGCCCAGACUCCUACGGGAGGCAGCAGUGGGGAAUAUUGGACAAUGUGGGGAACCCUGAUCCAGCCAUGCCGCGUGUGUGAAGAAGGCCUUAUGGUUGUAAAGCACUUUAAGCGAGGAGGAGGCUACUUUAGUUAAUACCUAGAGAUAGUGGACGUUACUCGCAGAAUAAGCACCGGCUAACUCUGUGCCAGCAGCCGCCGUAA
rnacentral:rRNA from 1 species